GCAGUUUCUGUUUCAGUUGUAAAGAAGGAUACUAUUUGUUGAAAAAGUCCGGACAGUGUCUGCAUACAUGUCCAUCGAAAUACUUCCUUCACUCUUUGAGCAGAGAGUGCAAAAGAUGCCACCCCUCCUGUAAAACAUGCAAGGAAUAACAAAUGUGAGACAUGUGACCCAUCCUGCGCUGAUUGUAAAGGCCCGGGACCGUACAGCUGCACCAGGUGCCCUGUUCUACAGCGCCUCUCAGAGGAUGGGAGGUGUCUUCCUUGCUGUGGAGACGACACAUUUGUGGAUUCCUCGAGAUUCCACUCGGAAUGCUGCCAGUGCCAGAAGCUGAAUGUGAUAUUUACUGAAUAACUGAUGAAAUUGACAACAAAAAUACAAGCUGACACUUCUGCCUAUAAACCCUGACACAAUCAACUCAUGGACUUCUAUUGUAAGUGCACUUUUGUUUGAGUUUAAAGCUGCAGUCUGUAAUUUUUUUUUUUUUUUUGGUUAAAAAUUAUUUUUGAGCAAAUACAUAACCAGCCAGUGUUCAAAACUAUCUCCUUACCUUAGCCCGAUUCACAACGGUAAGCUUGUAAUAAUGUUUCCUAAUCCGGAUGGUACUGGUGGGUUUCCGCAGGAAAUUCGAGCAUGCAGCUGUUUGUCUUUGCAUCAUUACGUCUCAUCUGUUUACAUAAAGAAGGAGUCCCAGUUAGUAUGCUAUAUGGCAUGUGGGAGGAUACUACAGGUGGCGGAUCAUAGACUUUUCUCACAGCAGCUGCAUUAAUUAAACUUUUCAUUUUGAUGGCGGAUUGUAAUCCAGAAAGGUCCAAAUGACAAUCAUCAGUGACAACUGGAGAUUGAAAUCUUAUCUUUACAAUGCUGAUGCUAAUUUGCACGGUUUGACGUUAUCCGAGCUAAGCGAUUGUUAGAUUUAAUCACCUUUGGCAUUUAUUGUUAGUCAGAACAAAAGUGGCAGACAUGUUACCUACUUUUUCCGGUGAAAAUUCUUAUUUUGGUCAUACUUCCAAGACGUAGAAUCUGUUAUUCCAAAGUACAAUAUACACCCUGAUGUGGUGACAGCAAACAUUAGAUUCAUCCGUGCUUAGGAGCCGUGCCAAUACACAGCCCAUGUAAAUAUGAUAAUGCCUCAAAUAACUGCAAUUGCAGAUUUCAAACAGAGAUGGCGACAAAGAGGCAAAACUUCAGACUGCAGCUUUAAAAACUGAGGCUCAUAUUAAAAAUGUAUCUUGUGGUAAUGACAACAUGCCAUCAGUGUUGGGUAAGUUACUCUAAAAAAGUAAUUACUAGCAACUAAUUACAUCUUCAACAGUGCAAUUAGAUUACUGUACUAAUUACUCUCUCUAAAAAGUAGUGAAUUACUAAUUACAUUCUAAAUCCCAUAUCAACCUCGACCAUUUGAAAAAAUACAAGAUAGACAUGAAACUGAUUUUUCAAAUAAAUAAUAUAAAUUUG